rnacentral:rRNA from 1 species
GAUGAACGCUAGCUACAGGCUUAACACAUGCAAGUCGAGGGGUAACGAGAGGGAAGCUUGCUUUCCUUGUCGACGACCGGCGCACGGGUGAGUAGCGCGUAUCCAACCUGCCCCCAACUAGGGAAUAACCUUGCGAAAGUAAGACUAAUACCCUAUAAUUUCCUCAGAUGUCAUCUGACGAGGAAUAAAGAUUUAUCGGUUGUGGAUGGGGAUGCGUCUGAUUAGCUUGUUGGCGGGGUAACGGCCCACCAAGGCAAGGAUCAGUAGGGGUUCUGAGAGGAAGGUCCCCCACAUUGGAACUGAGACACGGUCCAAACUCCUACGGGAGGCAGCAGUGAGGAAUAUUGGUCAAUGGGCGGAAGCCUGAACCAGCCAAGUAGCGUGCAGGAUGACGGCCCUAUGUGUUGUAAACUGCUUUUAUACAGGAAUAAAGUUAGCCACGUGUGGUUAUUUGUAGGUACUGUAUGAAUAAGGACCGGCUAAUUCCGUGCCAGCCGCCGCCGUAA